UACGAAGGAUGCUAGCGUUGUCCGGAAUCACUGGGCUUAAAGGGCGCGUAGGCGGCUUGUUAAGUCGGGGGUGAAAGCCUGUGGCUCAACCACAGAAUUGCCUUCGAUACUGUCGGGCUUGAGAACGGAAGAGGUAAGUGGAACUGCUAGUGUAGCGGUGAAAUUCGUAGAUAUUCGCAAGAACACCAGUGGCGAAGGCGGCUUACUGGUCCGGUUCUGACGCUGAGGCGCGAAAGCGUGGGGAGCAAACAGG
rnacentral:rRNA from 1 species